AUGAGUGAGAAAUGCAGGUAUCUGGGGAAGUGCACGCCUUGCACCAGGAGCGGCAAUUGCAAGGGUCUGAAGGCAGGAGCAGGCUUUCCUCGAUCAACAAGAGGAAGGAGACAAGGGCAGCUGGGAUGGAACAUGCGAGACGAAGAGGGUCAGAGAGAGAGCUAGAAGCCAGAUCACAAGGAGCUUGUAAGCCACUGUAAGAACUUUGGAUUUUAUUCUUAAGGAAAACAGGAAGGUACGAAACUUUUAAAGCCAAGGAAUGGCAUAAUCUGAUUUAUAUUUAAAAGGGGCGGGGCACAGUGGCUCACGCCUGUAAUCCUGGCACUUUGGAAGAUCAAGGUGGGCGGAUCACC
rnacentral:lncRNA from 1 species